AGAGUUUGAUCCUGGCUCAGAAUCAACGCUGGCGGCGCGCUUAACACAUGCAAGUCGCACGAGAAAGUGGAGCAAUCCAUGAGUAAAGUGGCGUACGGGUGAGUAACACGUGGAUCAUCUACCUCUUGGUGGGGAAUAACCAUGGGAAACCGUGGCUAAUACCGCAUAAGCCUGCGAAGGGAAAGCAGCAAUGCGCCGAGAGAGGAGUCCGCGGCCGAUUAGCUAGUUGGUAGGGUAAUGGCCUACCAAGGCAAUGAUCGGUAGCCGGCCUGAGAGGGCACACGGCCACACUGGCACUGAAACACGGGCCAGACUCCUACGGGAGGCAGCAGUGGGGAAUCUUGCACAAUGGAGGAAACUCUGAUGCAGCGACGCCGCGUGAGUGAUGAAGCCCUUCGGGGUGUAAAGCUCUUUCGGCAGGAACGA
rnacentral:rRNA from 1 species